GAUGAAGAACGUAGCGAAAUGCGAUAAGUAAUGUGAAUUGCAGAAUUCAGUGAAUCAUCGAAUCGUUGAACGCACAUUGCGCCCGCUAGUAUUCUGGCGGGCAUGCCUGUCCGAGCGUCAUUUCAACCCUCAAGCCCCCGGGCUUGGUGUUGGGGAUCGGCGAGCCUCCGCGCCCGCCGUCCCCUAAAUCUAGUGGCGGUCUCGCUGUAGCUUCCUCUGCGUAGUAGCACACCUCGCACUGGGAAACAGCGCGGCCACGCCGUUAAACCCCCAACUUCUGAACGUUUGACCUCGGAUCAGGUAGGAAUACCCGCUGAACUUAAGCAUAUCAAUAAGCGGAGGA
rnacentral:misc_RNA from 1 species